rnacentral:rRNA from 1 species
AACGAACGCUGGCGGCAUGCCUAACACAUGCAAGUCGAACGAGAUCUUCGGGUCUAGUGGCGCACGGGUGCGUAACGCGUGGGAAUCUGCCCUUUGGUUCGGAAUAACAGUUGGAAACGACUGCUAAUACCGGAUGAUGACGAAAGUCCAAAGAUUUAUCGCCAGAGGAUGAGCCCGCGUAGGAUUAGCUAGUUGGUGUGGUAAAGGCGCACCAAGGCGACGAUCCUUAGCUGGUCUGAGAGGAUGAUCAGCCACACUGGGACUGAGACACGGCCCAGACUCCUACGGGAGGCAGCAGUGGGGAAUAUUGGACAAUGGGCGAAAGCCUGAUCCAGCAAUGCCGCGUGAGUGAUGAAGGCCUUAGGGUUGUAAAGCUCUUUUACCCGGGAUGAUAAUGACAGUACCGGGAGAAUAAGCUCCGGCUAACUCCGUGCCAGCCGCCGUAACAC